rnacentral:rRNA from 1 species
CUACGGAGGGUGCAAGCGUUACUCGGAAUCACUGGGCGUAAAGGAUGCGUAGGCGGAUAAUCAAGUCAAAAGUGAGAUCCCACGGCUUAACCGUGGAACUGCUUUCGAAACUGGUUAUCUAGAAUAUGGAAGAGGCAGAUGGAAUUAGUGGUGUAGGGGUAAAAUCCGUAGAGAUCACUAGGAAUACCGAUUGCGAAGGCGAUCUGCUGGGACAUUAUUGACGCUGAGGCAUGAAAGCGUGGGGAGCAAACAGGAUUAGAAACCCCAGUAGUCC